rnacentral:rRNA from 1 species
UACGUAGGUGACAAGCGUUGUCCGGAUUUACUGGGCGUAAAGAGCGCGCAGGCGGUCGUUCAAGUCGAGUGUGAAAGCCCCCGGCUCAACUGGGGAGGGUCACUCGAUACUGAUCGACUCGAAGGCAGGAGAGGGAAGUGGAAUUCCCGGUGUAGUGGUGAAAUGCGUAGAUAUCGGGAGGAACACCCGUGGCGAAGGCGGCCAACUGGGCCGGCCCUGACGCUGAGGCGCGAAGGCGUGGGGAGCGAACGGG